rnacentral:rRNA from 1 species
UACCUGGGGAGCAAGCGUUGUCCGGAUUCAUUGGGCGUAAAGGGCUCGUAGGUGGAUUGACCAGUCGAAAUUGAAAUACAAUGGCUUAACCAUUGGCACGGUUUCGAUACUAUCAAUCUUGAGUGAAAUAGAGGUAAGCGGAAUUCCUGGUGUAGCGGUGAAAUGCGUAGAUAUCAGGAGGAACACCAAAGGCGAAGGCAGCUUACUGGAUUUAUACUGACACUGAGGAGCGAAAGCGUGGGUAGCGAAC